GUGGUGCAGGAACAAGGACUGGGCAAGACCGGUGCCAGCCGCCGCGGUAAUACCGGCAGUCCAAGUGAUGGCCGAUAUUAUUGGGCCUAAAGCGUCCGUAGCUGCUGUGUAAGUCCAUUGGGAAAUCGACCAGCUCAACUGGUCGCCGUCCGGUGGAAACUGCACAGCUUGGGGCCGAGAGACUCGACGGGUACGUCCGGGGUAGGAGUGAAAUCCUGUAAUCCUGGACGGACCACCAAUGGCGAAAGCACGUCGAGAGACCGGACCCGACGGUGAGGGACGAAAGCCAGGGUCUCGAACCGGAUUAGAUACCCGGGUAGUCCUGGCUGCAAACAAUGCUCGCUAGGUAUGUCACGCGCCAUGAGCACGUGAUGUGCCGUAGUGAAGACGAUAAGCGAGCCGCCUGGGAAGUACGUCCGCAAGGAUGAAACUUAAAGGAAUUGGCGGGGGAGCACCACAACCGGAGGAGCCUGCGGUUUAAUUGGACUCAACGCCGGACAUCUCACCGGUCCCGACAGUAGUAAUGACGGUCAGGUUGACGACUUUACCCGACGCUACUGAGAGGAGGUGCAUGGCCGCCGUCAGCUCGUACCGUGAGGCGUCCUGUUAAGUCAGGCAACGAGCGAGACCCGCAUCCGUAGUUGCCAGCAAUACCCCUGAGGUAGUUGGGUACACUACGGAGACUGCCGCUGCUAAAGCGGAGGAAGGAACGGGCAACGGUAGGUCAGUAUGCCCCGAAUGGACCGGGCAACACGCGGGCUACAAUGGCUCUGACAAAGGGAUGCGACGCCGAGAGGCGGAGCUAAUCUCGAAACGGAGUCGUAGUUCGGAUUGCGGGCUGAAACUCGCCCGCAUGAAGCUGGAUUCGGUAGUAAUCGCGUGUCAGAAGCGCGCGGUGAAUUCGUCCCUGCUCCUUGCACACACCGCCCGUCAAAGCACCCGAGUGAGGUCCGGAUGAGGCCAGCAUGCGCUGGUCGAAU
rnacentral:rRNA from 1 species